GGAAGCCUGCUUCGAGAUGAGGUCUCCCACAGGGUAGCCUGGUAAGGCCCCCGACUAGAUGAUCGGGUUGAUAGGCCGGAGGUGGAAGUGCGGUGACGCAUGGAGCUGACCGGUACUAAUAGGCCGAGGGCUUGUCUUCG
rnacentral:rRNA from 1 species